rnacentral:rRNA from 2 species
GAUGAACGCUGGCGGCGUGCCUAAUACAUGCAAGUCGAACGAACUCUGGUAUUGAUUGGUGCUUGCAUCAUGAUUUACAUUUGAGUGAGUGGCGAACUGGUGAGUAACACGUGGGAAACCUGCCCAGAAGCGGGGGAUAACACCUGGAAACAGAUGCUAAUACCGCAUAACAACUUGGACCGCAUGGUCCGAGYUUGAAAGAUGGCUUCGGCUAUCACUUUUGGAUGGUCCCGCGGCGUAUUAGCUAGAUGGUGGGGUAACGGCUCACCAUGGCAAUGAUACGUAGCCGACCUGAGAGGGUAAUCGGCCACAUUGGGACUGAGACACGGCCCAAACUCCUACGGGAGGCAGCAGUAGGGAAUCUUCCACAAUGGACGAAAGUCUGAUGGAGCAACGCCGCGUGAGUGAAGAAGGGUUUCGGCUCGUAAAACUCUGUUGUUAAAGAAGAACAUAUCUGAGAGUAACUGUUCAGGUAUUGACGGUAUUUAACCAGAAAGCCACGGCUAACUACGUGCCAGCAGCCGCGGUAAUACGUAGGUGGCAAGCGUUGUCCGGAUUUAUUGGGCGUAAAGCGAGCGCAGGCGGUUUUUUAAGUCUGAUGUGAAAGCCUUCGGCUCAACCGAAGAAGUGCAUCGGAAACUGGGAAACUUGAGUGCAGAAGAGGACAGUGGAACUCCAUGUGUAGCGGUGAAAUGCGUAGAUAUAUGGAAGAACACCAGUGGCGAAGGCGGCUGUCUGGUCUGUAACUGACGCUGAGGCUCGAAAGUAUGGGUAGCAAACAGGAUUAGAUACCCUGGUAGUCCAUACCGUAAACGAUGAAUGCUAAGUGUUGGAGGGUUUCCGCCCUUCAGUGCUGCAGCUAACGCAUUAAGCAUUCCGCCUGGGGAGUACGGCCGCAAGGCUGAAACUCAAAGGAAUUGACGGGGGCCCGCACAAGCGGUGGAGCAUGUGGUUUAAUUCGAAGCUACGCGAAGAACCUUACCAGGUCUUGACAUACUAUGCAAAUCUAAGAGAUUAGACGUUCCCUUCGGGGACAUGGAUACAGGUGGUGCAUGGUUGUCGUCAGCUCGUGUCGUGAGAUGUUGGGUUAAGUCCCGCAACGAGCGCAACCCUUAUUAUCAGUUGCCAGCAUUAAGUUGGGCACUCUGGUGAGACUGCCGGUGACAAACCGGAGGAAGGUGGGGAUGACGUCAAAUCAUCAUGCCCCUUAUGACCUGGGCUACACACGUGCUACAAUGGAUGGUACAACGAGUUGCGAACUCGCGAGAGUAAGCUAAUCUCUUAAAGCCAUUCUCAGUUCGGAUUGUAGGCUGCAACUCGCCUACAUGAAGUCGGAAUCGCUAGUAAUCGCGGAUCAGCAUGCCGCGGUGAAUACGUUCCCGGGCCUUGUACACACCGCCCGUCACACCAUGAGAGUUUGUAACACCCAAAGUCGGUGGGGUAACCUUUUAGGAACCAGCCGCCUAAGGUGGGACAGAUGAUUAGGGUGAAGUCGUAA